rnacentral:rRNA from 1 species
UGAUACAGUGUGAAAAACUCCGGUGGUAUGAGAUGGACCCGCGUCUGAUUAGCUANUGGUGGGGUAACGGCCUACCAAGGCAACGAUCAGUAGCCGACCUGAGAGGGUGACCGGCCACAUUGGGACUGAGACACGGCCCAAACUCCUACGGGAGGCAGCAGUGGGGAAUAUUGCACAAUGGGCGAAAGCCUGAUGCAGCGACGCCGCGUGAACGAUGAAGUAUUUCGGUAUGUAAAGUUCUAUCAGCAGGGAAGAAAAAAUGACGGUACCUGACUAAGAAGCACCGGCUAAAUACGUGCCAGCAGCCGCGGUAAUACNUAUGGUGCAAGCGUUAUCCGGAUUUACUGGGUGUAAAGGGAGCGUAGGCGUGUUUUAUAAGUCUGAUGUGAAAGCCCGGGGCUCANCCCCGGGACUGCAUUGGAAACUGUAGAACUAGAGUGUUCGGAGGGGUA